CAGAGUAUAACUCGCAACCCUGUGGACGACAGAACGUUGCCUGGGCGGUUAGGGGUUCCCUCACGGGUCCUCGGUGGCCGCCAGGCGUUAAACGACCGCCAGGCGUUAAACGAUCAACUGAAGUCUGAGUGAAACGAAGAUCA
rnacentral:misc_RNA from 1 species